rnacentral:rRNA from 1 species
AGAGUUUGAUUAUGGCUCAGAUUGAACGCUGGCGGAAUGCUUUACACAUGCAAGUCGAACGGCAGCACGGGAGCUUGCUCCUGGUGGCGAGUGGCGAACGGGUGAGUAAUGCGUCGGAACGUACCGAGUAAUGGGGGAUAACGCAGCGAAAGCUGUGCUAAUACCGCAUACGCCCUGAGGGGGAAAGUGGGGGAUCGCAAGACCUCACGUUAUUCGAGCGGCCGACGUCUGAUUAGCUAGUUGGUGGGGUAAUGGCCUACCAAGGCGACGAUCAGUAGCGGGUCUGAGAGGAUGAUCCGCCACACUGGGACUGAGACACGGCCCAGACUCCUACGGGAGGCAGCAGUGGGGAAUUUUGGACAAUGGGGGCAACCCUGAUCCAGCCAUUCCGCGUGAGUGAAGAAGGCCUUCGGGUUGUAAAGCUCUUUCAGCUGGAACGAAACGGUACAGGUUAAUACCCUGUGCUAAUGACGGUACCGGCAGAAGAAGCACCGGCUAACUACGUGCCAGCAGCCGCGGUAAUACGUAGGGUGCGAGCGUUAAUCGGAAUUACUGGGCGUAAAGCGUGCGCAGGCGGAUUGUUAAGCAAGAUGUGAAAUCCCCGGGCUUAACCUGGGAAUGGCAUUUUGAACUGGCAGUCUAGAGUGCGUCAGAGGGGGGUGGAAUUCCACGUGUAGCAGUGAAAUGCGUAGAGAUGUGGAGGAACACCAAUGGCGAAGGCAGCCCCCUGGGAUGACACUGACGCUCAUGUACGAAAGCGUGGGUAGCAAACAGGAUUAGAUACCCUGGUAGUCCACGCCCUAAACGAUGUCAACUGGUUGUUGGGGGGAGUGAAAUCCCUUAGUAACGAAGCUAACGCGUGAAGUUGACCGCCUGGGGAGUACGGUCGCAAGAUUAAAACUCAAAUGAAUUGACGG